rnacentral:rRNA from 1 species
GCCAGACUCCUACGGGAGGCAGCAGUGGGGAAUAUUGCACAAUGGGGGAAACCCUGAUGCAGCGACGCCGCGUGAGUGAAGAAGUAUUUCGGUAUGUAAAGCUCUAUCAGCAGGGAAGAAAUAGCGACCUUUGGGUCGCCAGACGGUACCUGAUUAAGAAGCCCCGGCUAACUACGUGCCAGCAGCCGCGGUAAUACGUAGGGGGCAAGCGUUAUCCGGAUUUACUGGGUGUAAAGGGAGCGUAGACGGCGAGGUAAGCCUGAAGUGGAAGCCCGCGGCCCAACCGCGGAACUGCUUUGGGAACUGUUUUGCUGGAGUAUGGGAGGGGUAAGCGGAAUUCCUGGUGUAGCGGUGAAAUGCGUAGAUAUCAGGAGGAACACCGGUGGCGAAGGCGGCUUACUGGACUGUAACUGACGUUGAGGCUCGAAAGCGUGGGGAGCAAACAGGAUUAGAUACCCCAGUA